CUACGGGCGGCACCAGUGGGGAAUAUUGGACAAUGGGCGCAAGCCUGAUCCAGCAAUGCCGCGUGAGUGAAGGCGGCCUUAGGGUUGUAAAACUCUUUCGCUAGGGAAGAUAAUGACUGUACCUAGUAAAGAAGUCCCGGCUAACUCCGUGCCAGCAGCCGCGGUAAUACGGAGGGGACUAGCGUUGUUCGGAAUUACUGGGCGUAAGAGUUCGUAGGCGGACUGACAAGUUAGAGGUGAAAUCCCAGGGCUCAACCCUGGAACUGCCUUUAAAACUGUCAGUCUAGAGACCGGAAGAGGUUAGGGGAAUACCUAGUGUAGAGGUGAAAUUCGUAGAUAUUAGGUGGAACACCAGUGGCGAAGGCGCCUAACUGGUCCGGUACUGACGCUGAGGAACGAAAGCGUGGGGAGCAAACAGGAUUAGAUACCCCUGUAGUC
rnacentral:rRNA from 1 species